CCUACGGGUGGCAGCAGUGAGGAAUAUUGGUCAAUGGGCGAGAGCCUGAACCAGCCAAGUCGCGUGAAGGAUGAAGGAUCUAUGGUUUGUAAACUUCUUUUAUAUGGGAAUAAAGAGAGGAACGUGGUCCAUUUUGUAUGUACCAUCUGAAUAAGCAUAGGCUAACUCCGUGCCAGUAGCCGCGGUAAUACGGAGGAUGCGAGCGUUAUCCGGAUUGUUUGGGUUUAAAGGGGGCGCAGGCGGAAUGGUAAGGCAGCGUUCAAAUCGUGGGGCUCAACCUCAUUCAGCAGUUGAAAGUGCGGAUCUUGAGUGUGCGAGAGGUAAGCGGAAUGCGUGGUGUAGCGGUGAAAUGCAUAGAUAUCACGCAGAACCCCGAUUGCGAAGGCAGCAUACCGGUGCACAACUGACGCUCAGGCACGAAAGCGUGGGUAGCGAACAGGAUUAGAUACCCGUGUAGUC
rnacentral:rRNA from 1 species